GCAUCCUUGGUGUAGUGGUAACACACUCCCUAUAUAUAUAUGUAUAUCAUUCACGUAUCUGGGAAGGUCCAGGGUUCAAAUUGCUGAGGAUGCA